rnacentral:rRNA from 1 species
CUCCUGGAAACGGGUGGUAAUGUCCGAUGCUCCAUCAUGCUGCAUGGUGUGGUGGGAAAGCUUCGGCGGUAUGGGAUGGGGUCGCGUCCUAUCAGCUUGUUGGUGGGGUAAUGGCCUACCAAGGCUUCGACGGGUAGCCGGCCUGAGAGGGCGACCGGCCACAUUGGGACUGAGAUACGGCCCAGACUCCUACGGGAGGCAGCAGUGGGGAAUAUUGCGCAAUGGGGGGAACCCUGACGCAGCGACGCCGCGUGCGGGAUGGAGGCCUUCGGGUUGUGAACCGCUUUUGGUAAGGAGCAAGCGAGAGUGAGUGUACUUAUCGAAUAAGGACCGGCUAACUACGUGCCAGCAGCCGCGGUAAUACGUAGGGUCCAAGCGCUGUCCGGAAUUAUUGGGCGUAAAGGGCUCGUAGGCGGCCUGUCGCGUCUGGUGUGAAAGCCCGUGGCUUAACUGCGGGUCUGCGCUGGAUACGGGCGGGCUAGAGUGCGGUAGGGGAGAAUGGAAUUCCCGGUGUAACGGCGGAAUGUGUAGAUAUCGGGAAGAACACC